rnacentral:rRNA from 1 species
AGUGAACGCUGGCGGUAGGCCUAACACAUGCAAGCCGAACGGCAGCACAGUAAGAGCUUGCUCUUACGGGUGGCGAGUGGCGGACGGGUGAGGAAUACAUCGGAAUCUACUUUUUCGUGGGGGAUAACGUAGGGAAACUUACGCUAAUACCGCAUACGACCUACGGGUGAAAGCAGGGGAUCUUCGGACCUUUCGCGAUUGAAUGAGCCGAUGUCGGAUUAGCUAGUUGGCGGGGUAAAGGCCCACCAAGGCGACGAUCCGUAGCUGGUCUGAGAGGAUGAUCAGCCACACUGGAACUGAGACACGGUCCAGACUCCUACGGGAGGCAGCAGUGGGGAAUAUUGGACAAUGGGCGCAAUCCUGAUCCAGCCAUACCGCGUGGGUGAAAAAGGCCUUCGGGUUGUAAAGCCCUGUUGUUGGGAAAGAAAAGCAGCAGGUUAAUACCCCGCUGUUCUGACGGUACCCAAAGAAAAAGCACCGGCUAACUUCGUG